GGGACAGCCACGUACACAUAGACCCUGGAAGAAGAUCAUUGUUAUUGUUGAGGGAAUCUAUAGCAUGGAAGGAGAGCUUUGCAAACUCCCUGAAGUCAUAGCUGUGUGCAAGAAGUACAAGGCAUACACAUACUUAGAUGAGGCGCACAGCAUUGGCGCAAUAGGGAGUUCUGGCAGAGGUGUUUGUGAACUCCUAGGGGUGGAUC
rnacentral:misc_RNA from 1 species